AGUUAUUUGUAGUCACAUUUUUAAAUCGCUAUAGUAAGCAACAUUUGCUGACUAGCUAGCAAUCCAAGACGGACAAGCCGGCAUGGCCUGCUCAGAGUAAGCUAACAGCGGCUAGCCACGGUGUCCGAAAGACAAAAUGAAGCCCAGUUAUCGUUCGGACCUUCAUUAAUUACACUGUUCUUACCGGGAUAAAAUGUGACGAUGCUGUGAGAUGGUAAAUCGGGGAAUCCACUCCUCGCUUGUACUCUCUUUGUGAACGUAUUGUCACUGGUCUGCUCUUUUACUCCAAGAGAAAACAGAUGCCCUUCUUGGCUACUGGGCUAGCUGGUUAGCUAGCCGGCAAACGGGUGAGAGCUACUUCUGUCACUUGAUUAAAAGUGCAAAAGUGACAAUGCUCAAAUCAAAUAAUUUCGUACUUUACGAGUACUAUUGGUAGUUCCGAUGGCCCCGAAAAAAGCCUCUGGACCGGAGGUCCAUCAUCAAGGCGUCGAUGGUGACGGAUUGCCGGUAAGGACCUAAUGGAAUAGCAGCAGCCAAGGAACCUCAUUGUCACAGGAGCACACCACUGUUUUAAGAAUCAGAAGUCAAUCAAAAUGUUAACGACAUACCACUGAAGGCCAGACGACUAACAGCCUUCUUCACUGGGCUCUUGAAGCAAGCUGUAAAAUAACUGCAGUACAUUCAGAAUGCUGCUGCUUGAGUGCUGACUAGAACCUGAAAGUUUCAACUGAAAGUAUAUUAUCUGCACUCUUCACUUUUAAUUUUAUGUAAUGAUUCUAGGGUGGUUUUGUUUCAUGGAAUUAUUUUACCCUCUUUUCCUGUAAAGCACUUUGAAUACCUUGUGUAUGACUUGGGCUCUAUAAAUAAACUUGACUUUGUCAAAGUAA